rnacentral:rRNA from 1 species
GAUGAACGCUGGCGGCGUGCCUAAUACAUGCAAGUCGAGCGAACAGAUGAGGAGCUUGCUCCUCUGACGUUAGCGGCGGACGGGUGAGUAACACGUGGAUAACCUACCUAUAAGACUGGGAUAACUUCGGGAAACCGGAGCUAAUACCGGAUAAUAUAUUGAACCGCAUGGUUCAAUAGUGAAAGACGGUUUUGCUGUCACUUAUAGAUGGAUCCGCGCCGCAUUAGCUAGUUGGUAAGGUAACGGCUUACCAAGGCAACGAUGCGUAGCCGACCUGAGAGGGUGAUCGGCCACACUGGAACUGAGACACGGUCCAGACUCCUACGGGAGGCAGCAGUAGGGAAUCUUCCGCAAUGGGCGAAAGCCUGACGGAGCAACGCCGCGUGAGUGAUGAAGGUCUUCGGAUCGUAAAACUCUGUUAUUAGGGAAGAACAAAUGUGUAAGUAACUAUGCACGUCUUGACGGUACCGAAUCAGAAAGCCACGGCUAACUACGU